GUGUUCAUUUUGGCAGCGCAUGCACUAAAUGUGGAAUGAUACAGAGAAAAUUAGCAAGGCCCCUAUGCACUGAUGCCAUUUAAUAUUAGUAGGGAAAUAAUUCAAACUUUU